rnacentral:rRNA from 1 species
UACGUAGGGGGCAAGCGUUGUCCGGAAUCAUUGGGCGUAAAGAGCGCGUAGGCGGCCCAGUAAGUCCGCUCUGAAAGUCAGAGGCUCAACCUCUGAAUGCGGGUGGAUACUGCUGGGCUAGAGUCCGGAAGAGGCGAGUGGAAUUCCUGGUGUAGCGGUGAAAUGCGCAGAUAUCAGGAGGAACACCGGUGGCGAAGGCGCCACUCUGGGCCGAAACUGACGCUGAGGAGCGAAAGCGUGGGUAGCAAACAGG